GUUAGGGUGGCAGAGCCAGGUAUAUGCAAAAGGCCUAAGACCUUUGACUCAGAGAUUCAAAUCCUCUCCCUAACC
rnacentral:tRNA from 1 species